CCUACGGGAGGCAGCAGUGGGGAAUCUUGCACAAUGGGGGAAACCCUGAUGCAGCGACGCCGCGUGAGUGAAGAAGUAUUUCGGUACGUAAAGCUCUAUCAGCAGGGAAGAAAAAAAGUCCUUUGGACUUUGGACGGUACCUGACCAAGAAGCCCCGGCUACCUACGUGCCAGCAGCCGCGGUAAUACGUAGGGGGCAAGCGUUCUCCGGCUUUACUGGGUGUAAAGGGAGCGUAGACGGCAGCGCAAGUCUGUAGUGAAAUGCCGGGGCCCAACCCCGGAACUGCGUUGGAAACUGUGCAGCUGGAGUGCAGGAGAGGUGAGCGGAAUUCCUAGUGUAGCGGUGAAAUGCGUAGAUAUUAGGAGGAACACCAGUGGCGAAGGCGGCUUACUGGACUGUAACUGACGUUGAGGCUCGAAAGCGUGGGGAGCAAACAGGAUUAGAUACCCUAGUAGUC
rnacentral:rRNA from 1 species